AACGAACGCUGGCGGCGUGGAUAAGACAUGCAAGUCGAACGGGACAGACCGAGUAGCAAUAUUUGGAAUGUUCAGUGGCGAACGGGUGCGUAACACGUGGAUAACAUUCCGGAAAGCAGGGAAUAGCCCAGGGAAACUUGGAUUAAUACCGCAUGUGGCCGCAAGGCUAAAGACGGGGAACGCAAGGCCUGUCACUUUCCGAUUGGUCCGCGGCCUAUCAGCUAGUUGGCGGGGUAAUGGCCCACCAAGGCUACGACGGGUAGCUGGUCUUAGAGGACGACCAGCCACACUGGAACUGAGACACGGUCCAGACACCUACGGGUGGCAGCAGUCGAGAAUCUUUCACAAUGGGGGCAACCCUGAUGGAGCGACGCCGCGUGGAGGAUAAGGUCUUCGGAUUGUAAACUCCUGUCAUGCGAGAACAAGGUACUCAGGCUAAUAACCUGAUUGUUUGAUGGUACCGCAAGAGGAAGAGACGGCUAACUCUGUGCCAGCCGCCGCAGUAACAC
rnacentral:rRNA from 1 species